AGAGUUUGAUCCUGGCUCAGGAUGAACGCUAGCGGGAGGCUUAACACAUGCAAGUCGAGGGGCAGCAUGGUCUUCGGACCGAUGGCGACCGGCGGACGGGUGAGUAACGCGUAUGCAACCUACCUUUUACAGAAGAAUAGCCCAGAGAAAUUUGGAUUAAUACUUCAUGGUACUGUUUUAUCGCAUGAUAAAACAGUUAAAGAUUUAUCGGUAAAAGAUGGGCAUGCGUGACAUUAGAUUGUUGGCGGGGUAACGGCCCACCAAGUCUGCGAUGUCUAGGGGUUCUGAGAGGAUGAUCCCCCACACUGGUACUGAGACACGGACCAGACUCCUACGGGAGGCAGCAGUGAGGAAUAUUGGUCAAUGGGCGCAAGCCUGAACCAGCCAUCCCGCGUGAAGGAUGACGGUCCUAUGGAUUGUAAACUUCUUUUAUGUACCAAGAAUGUGACCCUCGUGAGGGUUUUUGACGGUAGUACAUGAAUAAGCAUCGGCUAACUCCGUGCCAGCAGCCGCGGUAAUACGGAGGAUGCGAGCGUUAUCCGGAUUCAUUGGGUUUAAAGGGUGCGUAGGCGGCUUAUUAUGUCAGUGGUGAAAUCCUGCGGCUUAACCGUAGAACUGCCAUUGAAACUGAUAAGCUUGAAUAUAGUUGAGGUAGGCGGAAUGAGUAGUGUAGCGGUGAAAUGCUUAGAGAUUACUCAGAACACCGAUUGCGAAGGCAGCUUACUAAACUAUCAUUGACGCUGAGGCACGAAAGCGUGGGGAGCGAACAGGAUUAGAUACCCUGGUAGUCCACGCCGUAAACGAUGUUCACUCGCUGCUUGCGAUACAUAGUAAGUGGCCAAGCGAAAGCAUUAAGUGAACCGCCUGGGGAGUACGUCGGCAACGGUGAAACUCAAAGGAAUUGACGGGGGCCCGCACAAGCGGAGGAACAUGAGGUUUAAUUCGAUGAUACGCGAGGAACCUUACCUGGGCUUAAAUGUGGAUUGCAUGUGGUGGAAACACCCUUCUCUUCGGAGCUAUCUACAAGGUGCUGCAUGGUUGUCGUCAGCUCGUGCCGUGAGGUGUCGGGUUAAGUCCCAUAACGAGCGCAACCCCUAUCGUUAGUUGCCAUCAGGUCAUGCUGGGGACUCUAGCGAGACUGCCACCGUAAGGUGAGAGGAAGGUGGGGAUGACGUCAAAUCAGCACGGCCCUUAUGUCCAGGGCUACACACGUGUUACAAUGGCAGGUACAAAGGCAGCUACACCGCGAGGUGAUGCUAAUCUCUAAAGCUUGUCUCAGUUCGGAUCGGAGUCUGCAACUCGACUCCAUGAAGUUGGAUUCGCUAGUAAUCGCGUAUCAGCAAUGACGCGGUGAAUACGUUCCCGGGCCUUGUACACACCGCCCGUCAAACCAUGGAAGCUGGGGGGACCUGAAGUCUGUCACCGUAGGGAGCGGCCUAGGGUAAAACCGGUAACUGGGGUUAAGUCGAAACAAGGUA
rnacentral:rRNA from 1 species